rnacentral:snRNA from 1 species
UUGCUUCGGCAGCAUGUAUACUGGAAUUGAAGGAUACAGGGAAGAUUAGCAUGGCCUCUAUGCAAGAAUGACAUGCAAAUUUAAGCAUUCCAUAUUUUA